GGUGGCUCAGUGGUAGAGUGCUUGUCUUGCAUGCAUGAGGCACUGGGGUUCAAUUCCUCGGCACCA
rnacentral:tRNA from 1 species